rnacentral:rRNA from 1 species
UACGUAGGGUGCGAGCGUUGUCCGGAAUUAUUGGGCGUAAAGAGCUCGUAGGCGGCUUGUCGCGUCGGAUGUGAAAGCCCGGGGCUUAACUCCGGGUCUGCAUUCGAUACGGGCAGGCUAGAGUUCGGUAGGGGAGAUCGGAAUUCCUGGUGUAGCGGUGAAAUGCGCAGAUAUCAGGAGGAACACCGGUGGCGAAGGCGGAUCUCUGGGCCGAUACUGACGCUGAGGAGCGAAAUCGUGGGGAGCGAACAGG